UACGGAGGGAGCUAGCGUUGUUCGGAAUUACUGGGCGUAAAGCGCACGUAGGCGGCUUUGUAAGUUAGAGGUGAAAGCCCAGUGCUCAACACUGGAACUGCCUUUAAGACUGCAUCGCUUGAAUCCAGGAGAGGUGAGUGGAAUUCCGAGUGUAGAGGUGAAAUUCGUAGAUAUUCGGAAGAACACUAGUGGCGAAGGCGGCUCACUGGACUGGUAUUGACGCUGAGGUGCGAAAGCGUGGGGAGCAAACAGG
rnacentral:rRNA from 1 species